CCUACGGGGGGCUGCAGUGGGGAAUAUUGGACAAUGGGGGCAACCCUGAUCCAGCCAUGCCGCGUGUGUGAAGAAGGCCCUCGGGUUGUAAAGCACUUUCAGUGAGGAAGAACGCCUGGUGGUUAAUACCCAUCAGGAAAGACAUCACUCACAGAAGAAGCACCGGCUAACUCCGUGCCAGCAGCCGCGGUAAUACGGAGGGUGCGAGCGUUAAUCGGAAUUACUGGGCGUAAAGCGCGCGUAGGUGGCUUGAUAAGCCGGUUGUGAAAGCCCCGGGCUCAACCUGGGAACGGCAUCCGGAACUGUCAAGCUAGAGUGCAGGAGAGGAAGGUAGAAUUGCCGGUGUAGCGGUGAAAUGCGUAGAGAUCGGGAGGAAUACCAGUGGCGAAGGCGGUCUUCUGGACUGACACUGACACUGAGGUGCGAAAGCGUGGGUAGCAAACAGGAUUAGAUACCCCAGUAGUC
rnacentral:rRNA from 1 species